UACGUAGGGUGCGAGCGUUGUCCGGAAUUAUUGGGCGUAAAGAGCUCGUAGGCGGUCUGUCGCGUCGAUCGUGAAAACUCGGGGGCUCAACCCCGAGCUUGCAGUCGAUACGGGCAGGCUAGAGUUCGGCAGGGGAGACUGGAAUUCCUGGUGUAGCGGUGAAAUGCGCAGAUAUCAGGAGGAACACCGGUGGCGAAGGCGGGUCUCUGGGCCGAUACUGACGCUGAGGAGCGAAAGCGUGGGGAGCGAACAGG
rnacentral:rRNA from 1 species